rnacentral:rRNA from 1 species
AUUGAACGCUGGCGGCAUGCUUUACACAUGCAAGUCGGACGGCAGCACAGAGAAGCUUGCUUCUUGGGUGGCGAGUGGUGAACGGGUGAGUAAUAUAUCGGAACGUACCGAGUAAUGGGGGAUAACUAAUCGAAAGAUUAGCUAAUACCGCAUAUUCUCUGAGGAGGAAAGCAGGGGACCUUCGGGCCUUGCGUUAUUCGAGCGGCCGAUAUCUGAUUAGCUAGUUGGUGGGGUAAAGGCCUACCAAGGCGACGAUCAGUAGCGGGUCUGAGAGGAUGAUCCGCCACACUGGGACUGAGACACGGCCCAGACUCCUACGGGAGGCAGCAGUGGGGAAUUUUGGACAAUGGGCGCAAGCCUGAUCCAGCCAUGCCGCGUGUCUGAAGAAGGCCUUCGGGUUGUAAAGGACUUUUGUCAGGGAAGAAAAGGCUGUUGCUAAUAUCGACAGCUGAUGACGGUACCUGAAGAAUAAGCACCGGCUAACUACGUG